AUGCUCUGGAGAUGGACGGCUAGUGGCACCUAUACGGCACGGUCUUGCUACGCUGCAACCUUCCACGGAUCCAUGAAAUGCCCCUCCUGGAAGCUUACCUGGAAGAGCUGGGCACCGCGCCGCGUCCAUUUCUUUCACUGGUUGGCCAGCCAGGACCGGUGUUGGACAGCGUGCAGCACCAUCCACGAUGCCUCCUUUGUGAUCAGGCCCCAGAGUCGAUGUGGCACCUGCUCCUAG
rnacentral:rRNA from 1 species